UACGUAGGGGGCUAGCGUUGUCCGGAAUCAUUGGGCAUAAAGCGCGCGUAGGCGGCCCGGUAAGUCCGCUGUGAAAGUCAAAGGCUCAACCUUUGAAUGUCAGCGGAUACUGCCGGGCUAGAGUCCGGAAGAGGCGAGUGGAAUUCCUGGUGUAGCGGUGGAAUGCGCAGAUAUCAGGAGGAACACCAACGGCGAAGGCAGCUCGCUGGGACGGUACUGACGCUGAGGCGCGAAAGCGUGGGGAGCGAACAGG
rnacentral:rRNA from 1 species